AUCUUGCUGACGAGUGCCAACAAGCAUGAAACUUAGGUCCAAGAU
rnacentral:hammerhead_ribozyme from 1 species